rnacentral:rRNA from 1 species
AUUGAACGCUGGCGGCAGGCCUAACACAUGCAAGUCGAGCGAGCGGCGGACGGGUGAGUAAUGUAUGUGGCCUGCCCGAUAGAGGGGGAUAACUACUGGAAACGGUGGCUAAUACCGCAUACUAUCGGAUAACCCAUAUGUGCUUAGCUAGUGGGUGGGGUAAAGGCUCACAUAGGCGACGAUCUCUAGCUGGUCUGAGAGGAUGAUCAGCAACACUGGGAUGGAGACACGGCCCAGACUCCUACGGAGGAAGCAUUGGGGAAUAUUGCACAAUGGGCGCAAGCCUGAUGCAGCCAUGCCGCGGGUAUGAAGAAGGCCUUAGGUUUGUAAAGUAUUUUCAGCGGGGAGGCGUUACCCGCAGAAGAAGCACCGGCUAACUCCGUGCCAGCAGCCGCGGUAAUUC